AGGGGCUGGAGGGAGGAAAGGGAUAUGCUUGGUCUUAAUAAACAUUCCUCUUUCUUUAGAUUUUUUUUCUAGCAUACUGGAGAGAAUAGCACAUGUGUUCCCUACCCCACAGACCUCAAUAUGGGACCUCAUAGCAGAGGAAUCUCUGGGCAAAUGCAUCCCUCUCCAUGUACAAGGAUCUAUGCUUGCUGAGACUGUCUUCUGUUCUUGGAGGGGGAGCCUCUCAGAGC
rnacentral:lncRNA from 1 species